rnacentral:rRNA from 1 species
GACGGGGGGGGCAAGUGUUCUUCGGAAUGACUGGGCGUAAAGGGCACGUAGGCGGUGAAUCGGGUUGAAAGUGAAAGUCGCCAAAAAGUGGCGGAAUGCUCUCGAAACCAAUUCACUUGAGUGAGACAGAGGAGAGUGGAAUUUCGUGUGUAGGGGUUCAAUCCGUAAAUAUACGAAGGAACGCCAAAAGCGAAGGCAGCUCUCUGGGUCCCUACCGACGCUGGGGUGCGAAAGCUAGGGGAGCAAACAGG